ACCUUGCGAUGCGUUUGGGCCUACCAGGUCUGACCGGCAUCCUCCCCCACCAUCUGGGCCAACUCACCACCAGGUAGUGGUCAGUUGACAGCUCCACCCCUCGCUUCACCCGAGUGUCCAUCACAUUUGGCCGAAGGUCAGAUGAAACAACAACAAGUCGAUCAUCGAGCUGCAGCCUAAGAUAUCCUGGUACCAAGAGCACAUAUGGACACCUUUAUGUCUGAAGAUGGUGUUCAUUAUGGACAAUCCAUGACUGGCACAGAAGUCCAAUAAAAAAACACCACUCGAAUUCAGAUCAGGGGGGCCGUUCCUCCCAACCACACCUCUCCAGGUCUCACUGUCGUUGCCCACGUGAGCGUUAAAGUCCCCCAGCAGAACGAGGGAGUCACCGGAAGGAGCGCUCUCCAGCACCCCCUCCAAGGUCUCCAAAAAGGGUGGGUAGUCUGAACUGUAGUUUGGUGCAUAAGCACAGACCACAGUCAGAACCCAUCCCCCACACGUAGGCAGAAGGAGGCUACCCUCUCAUUCACUGGGGUAAACCCCAACGUACAGGCACCAAGAUGGGGGGGCAACUAAUAUGCCCACCCCUGCUCAGCGCCUCUCAGUGGGAGCAACUCCAGAGUGGUAGAAAGUCCAACCCAUCUCAAGGAAACUGGUUCCAGAGCCAGAGCCAUGCGUUGAGAUGAGUCCGACUAUAUCUAGUCGGAACCUCUCAACCUCACACACCAACUCAGGCUCCUUCCCCACCAGAGAGGUGACAUUCCAUGUGCCAAGAGCCAGCUUCUGUAGCCGAGGAUCAGGCAGCCAAAGUCCCCGCCCUCGGUUACCACCCGUCACACACUGCACCCAACCCCUUUGGCCCCUCCCACGAGUGGUGAGCCCAUGGGAAAGGGGACCCACGUUUCUUCUUCGGGCUGUGCCUGGCCGGGCUCCAUGUAUCAUGGUCUGCCUCAAUCAGCAGGAGAGGAGACCUGGCAAUCAGCUGUUUUUGUUGCAGGUGGGCGUGGCAACGAGCUCCAGCUGAUCCUGAUCCUGCUAAUCAGAAGGCCAGGGGAUUUAAGGAGCGGUGAGACACAACUCCAGUGCCAGUUGAUACUCUCACCAAGUAUCUCGCCUCAUAUCCUCUAACCACGCCUGGAGUUGUAUUCCACGUCCCGCCGUUCAGGAUCCUCUGGCCUCCACUCUCCAUCGCUCGCCUGCCUGCCAACCUACACCCUGGACUCAUACAACCAUCUCCUGACCACCUCUAGCCUGGUGAACUAGACCAAAUUCUUGCUUUGCAAAGUUUGGUCUAGGAACGCUCCACUGGAACCUCUGCAGCUCCAACAGCAUUCUGGCUGGCCAAUCACAGCUCUCUAGAGGGGUUUCAAACACAUUAAGAGCUGUGAUUGGUCCAUAAUGGUGGGCCAAUCAUAGUGCUCUAUCUGCUUAGUGAACAAAUCAUAGAGCUUCAUCCUCUUUGUGGGCCAAUCAGGGCACUCUAUGUGCCUGGUGGGUGGGAUGAUGCAACAGAGUGAAACAAGAGUAUGGCUGUGAUCGAGAUGAGCUGGUUCUGCGCAGAUUAGAUCACCGGUGAUCGGCGCGCAGUGCUUGCCGGUUAGAUUUGUGUCCGACUUGACGCCGACUUGCUCUAACGUCAAGCCUACGUAGGCAACGAUAACCUCGUGAGAUCAAGGCAGCCGCAGAUUUUGGAGAAAGGCGCUGCAGUUGCUCUCCCUCGGCUGCAAAACCUAGGGGAUGACGGGAAACGCCUGUCAUGAGCCGGGGUGAGUACUCCUCAUUCACCUUAACAUCUUUGAGUCUCUUGCCAGGAGAGGGAGUGCCCAGCUGUUCCUGAUCAGCAAUAGCGGGGUGGUUCCUGCUUAAGGGUUCAACGUCGGAAGAUUGCCUCAGCUUGGAUUCCUGUGUUUGAUCUCUGGCCACUGAGCUUUUGGAUACUCACCUCAGGACUCCUGGGUUUGGAAACUCAGAACCUCCAGGACCCUUUCACCGCUCUCCAUAACUACUCUCCCAACAUUUCGGCUCAGUGUCAUCCAUCCACCAGGGCGCCCUGCUUAUCAUCACCUGUGCUCCCUCUCCUGCGCUCUCCCCGGCUCUCAACCUGCUCCCUCCUCCAGCCAGCAACUCUCACCUUACCGUAAGAUCAUUUGAACUAACCUCGGACGAAAAUGGACCUCAGGAAAUAAAUACAUGCUCACCAGUGUUCUCCCUCCUCCGGACGCAGAGCUCCUGUAUCUGCACCAGCCACUGACACUUCAGUGCAUCUUCAGUUUCUUAUUUUGUAAAUAAACUAUUU